UACGGGGGGGGCAAGCGUUGUUCGGAAUUACUGGGCGUAAAGGGCUCGUAGGUGGCCAACUAAGUCAGACGUGAAAUCCCUCGGCUUAACCGGGGAACUGCGUCUGAUACUGGAUGGCUUGAGUUUGGGAGAGGGAUGCGGAAUUCCAGGUGUAGCGGUGAAAUGCGUAGAUAUCAGGAGGAACACCGGUGGCGAAGGCGGUUCUCUGGGCAUUACCUGACGCUGAGGAGCGAAAGUGUGGGGAGCGAACAGG
rnacentral:rRNA from 1 species